UAUUGUUCGAUCAUAUCUCUUCUCCGACGCCUUCAUUUUGAAAUAGCUGCAAAUGGCGUCCUCUACUCUAAUCCGUGAAUCGCAUCCAUGGAAGGACCUGAAAGGCCAUAUUGACGAGAUCGACAGUACUCAUUUGCGCAACCUGAUGAGCGAUGCGGAUCUCUGCAAGUCCAUGAUGGUGGAGUUCGAUGGGAUUUUGUUGGACUAUUCAAGGCAGUGGGCAACUCUUGAG